UACAGAGGUCUCAAGCGUUGUUCGGAUUCAUUGGGCGUAAAGGGUGCGUAGGCGGCGCGGUAAGUCGGGUGUGAAAUCUUGGAGCUUAACUGCGGGCUUGCAGCCGAUACGGGCGGGCUGGAGUUCGGUAGGGGAGACUGGAAUUCCUGGUGUAGCGGUGAAAUGCGCAGAUAUCAGGAGGAACACCGGUGGCGAAGGCGGGUCUCUGGGCCGAUACUGACGCUGAGGAGCGAAAGCGUGGGGAGCGAACAGG
rnacentral:rRNA from 1 species